CCUACGGGAGGCAGCAGUGAGGAAUAUUGGUCAAUGGACGAGAGUCUGAACCAGCCAAGUAGCGUGAAGGAUGACUGCCCUAUGGGUUGUAAACUUCUUUUAUAUGGGAAUAAAUUGUUCCACGUGUGGGAUUUUGUAUGUACCAUAUGAAUAAGGAUCGGCUAACUCCGUUCCAGCAGCCGCGGUAAUACGGAGGAUCCGAGCGUUACCCGGAUUUAUUGGGUUGAAAGGGAGUCUAGGUGGAUUGUUAAGUCAGUUGUGAAAGUUUGCGGCUCAACCGUAACAUUGCAGUUGAUACUGGCAGUCUUGAGUACAGUAGAGGUGGGCGGAAUUCGUGGUGUAGCGGUGAAAUGCUUAGAUAUCACGAAGAACUCCGAUUGCGAAGGCAGUUCACUGGACUGCAACUGACACUGAGGCUCGAAAGUGUGGGUAUCAAACAGGAUUAGAUACCCUGGUAGUC
rnacentral:rRNA from 1 species